rnacentral:rRNA from 1 species
GGCGCAAGCCUGAUGCAGCCAUGCCGCGUGUGUGAAGAAGGCCUUCGGGUUGUAAAGCACUUUCAGUCGUGAGGAAGGUGGUGUAGUUAAUAGCUGCAUUAUUUGACGUUAGCGACAGAAGAAGCACCGGCUAACUCCGUGCCAGCAGCCGCGGUAAUACGGAGGGUGCGAGCGUUAAUCGGAAUUACUGGGCGUAAAGCGCAUGCAGGUGGUUUGUUAAGUCAGAUGUGAAAGCCCGGGGCUCAACCUCGGAAUAGCAUUUGAAACUGGCAGACUAGAGUACUGUAGAGGGGGGUAGAAUUUCAGGUGUAGCGGUGAAAUGCGUAGAGAUCUGAAGGAAUACCGGUGGCGAAGGCGGCCCCCUGGACAGAUACUGACACUCAGAUGCGAAAGCGUGGGGAGCAAACAGGAUUAGAUACCCUGGUAGUCCACGCCGUAAACGAUGUCUACUUGGAGGUUGUGGCCUUGAGCCGUGGCUUUCGGAGCUAACGCGUUAAGUAGACCGCCUGGG